CAGCCGCCGCGGGAAUACGGAGGGGGCUAGCGUUGUUCGGAAUUACUGGGCGUAAAGCGCACGUAGGCGGCCUGGUAAGUUAGAGGUGAAAGCCUGGAGCUCAACUCCAGAAUUGCCUUUAAGACUGCCGAGCUAGCAGGUGAGAGAGGUAAGUGGAAUUCCGAGUGUAGAGGUGAAAUUCGUAGAUAUUCGGAAGAACACCAGUGGCGAAGGCGGCUUACUGGCUCAUACUGGACGCUGAGGUGCGAAAGCGUGGGGAGCAAACAGGAUUAGAUACCCCUGUAGUCCCUGUCUCUUAUAC
rnacentral:rRNA from 1 species